AGACGAUGCUUAUGCAUCCCUCAGCCUGAACGACUCCUGGAGAUCAACUGCUUCUUAUAUAAUCCUUAUCCAUAACUUACU
rnacentral:ncRNA from 1 species